rnacentral:rRNA from 1 species
AGAGUUUGAUCCUGGCUCAGAUUGAACGCUGGCGGCAUGCCUUACACAUGCAAGUCGAACGGCAGCACGGGUGCUUGCACCUGGUGGCGAGUGGCGAACGGGUGAGUAAUAUAUCGGAACGUACCCUAGAGUGGGGGAUAACGUAGCGAAAGUUACGCUAAUACCGCAUACGAUCUACGGAUGAAAGUGGGGGAUCGCAAGACCUCAUGCUCAUGGAGCGGCCGAUAUCUGAUUAGCUAGUUGGUGGGGUAAAAGCCUACCAAGGCGACGAUCAGUAGCUGGUCUGAGAGGACGACCAGCCACACUGGAACUGAGACACGGUCCAGACUCCUACGGGAGGCAGCAGUGGGGAAUUUUGGACAAUGGGGGCAACCCUGAUCCAGCAAUGCCGCGUGAGUGAAGAAGGCCUUCGGGUUGUAAAGCUCUUUUGUCAGGGAAGAAACGGGAUUUUCUAAUACAAAGUCCUAAUGACGGUACCUGAAGAAUAAGCACCGGCUAACUACGUGCCAGCAGCCGCGGUAAUACGUAGGGUGCAAGCGUUAAUCGGAAUUACUGGGCGUAAAGCGUGCGCAGGCGGUUGUGCAAGACAGAUGUGAAAUCCCCGGGCUCAACCUGGGAAUUGCAUUUGUGACUGCACGGCUAAAGUGUGUCAGAGGGGGGUAGAAUUCCACGUGUAGCAGUGAAAUGCGUAGAGAUGUGGAGGAAUACCGAUGGCGAAGGCAGCCCCCUGGGAUAACACUGACGCUCAUGCACGAAAGCGUGGGGAGCAAACAGGAUUAGAUACCCUGGUAGUCCACGCCCUAAACGAUGUCUACUAGUUGUCGGGUCUUAAUUGACUUGGUAACGCAGCUAACGCGUGAAGUAGACCGCCUGGGGAGUACGGUCGCAAGAUUAAAACUCAAAGGAAUUGACGGGGACCCGCACAAGCGGUGGAUGAUGUGGAUUAAUUCGAUGCAACGCGAAAAACCUUACCUACCCUUGACAUGUACGGAACUUACCAGAGAUGGUUUGGUGCUCGAAAGAGAACCGUAACACAGGUGCUGCAUGGCUGUCGUCAGCUCGUGUCGUGAGAUGUUGGGUUAAGUCCCGCAACGAGCGCAACCCUUGUCAUUAGUUGCUACGAAAGGGCACUCUAAUGAGACUGCCGGUGACAAACCGGAGGAAGGUGGGGAUGACGUCAAGUCCUCGUGGCCCUUAUGGGUAGGGCUUCACACGUCAUACAAUGGUACAUACAGAGGGCCGCCAACCCGCGAGGGGGAGCUAAUCCCAGAAAGUGUAUCGUAGUCCGGAUUGUAGUCUGCAACUCGACUACAUGAAGUUGGAAUCGCUAGUAAUCGCGGAUCAGCAUGUCGCGGUGAAUACGUUCCCGGGUCUUGUACACACCGCCCGUCACACCAUGGGAGCGGGUUUCACCAGAAGUAGGUAGCCUAACCGCAAGGAGGGCGCUUACCACGGUGGGAUUCGUGACUGGGGUGAAGUCGUAACAAGGUA